rnacentral:lncRNA from 1 species
CCAGCUGCAGAGUCUUUCUUAUCGCUGGAGAGGCAAGCACAGCGCAGAGAGAGUGAGUGAGGGGCCCAGGGUCACACAGCAGGAGAGGACCAGGGGCGCCUCCCAGGGCCCUCAGCUGCCAAAACUGCAGGCUCCUUCCAUUCCCGGACGGCCUGACCCCGUCCUGGCUUUUCUGACUCCGCUUGUUUCAUUUCUGACCGUCACGGUGAUUAUCAUUACUAAUCGCUAACUCAUCGCAAGGCGUCCGUGCGUCAGGCACAGAGCAGAGCGCCCGGCGUGGAUUUCCUUCACUCGUUUUUCGUGCAGCAAAUCUUUGUUAAGUGCCUGCUCUGUGCCAGGCAUGGGGCCAGGCCCCCGGGAGAUGGCGGUGAGCAGAAUCAACGUGGCCCCUGUCCUCACACUGUGACAUUGUAGGAGCAGCAGACCAUGAGGGAAGACCUUAAUCCACGAGUGGGCUAAUUCCACACAGAGGCCUUAUGUUGGGGACACAAAAGUUAAAAACAAACGAAACAGUCUCCAGGAGCCCC